GACGAGGGGUCCUAGCGUUGUUCGGAAUUAUUGGGCGUAAAGCGGGUGUAGGUGGCUCUGUAAGUCAGAAGUGAAAUCCCCGAGCUUAACUCGGGAAGUGCUUUUGAAACUGCAAGACUUGAAUACUGGAGAGGAUCGCGGAAUUCCCGGUGUAGAGGUGAAAUUCGUAGAUAUCGGGAGGAACACCAGUGGCGAAGGCGGCGAUCUGGACAGAUAUUGACGCUGAGGUGCGAAAGCGUGGGGAGCAACAGGAGUA
rnacentral:rRNA from 1 species